AUAUGCUCGCCCUCUCUUAGCCACGGGAGCCACACAAGAGGGGUGAAAGAGCCGCGGGUUGCCGAGCCCUGCUUUAAGAUGACAAAACGUUCACAGCCACACACGUGUACCUGCCCGUGUCGCUGACCAGUGCACUGUUCAGAGACAGCACUCUGCCGCCGGACAACACCUGAGGGGGGACGCACAAGCAGUCUGGAUGCAGGUGUCAUUACUCCAGUCAAACCUGAACUGGCCGGCCAUCUUUAAGCCAGGUGAGGCUGGGAGGAGGGAUGCCACUGGAGACGCACUCCAGACUGAUGGCUUUGUGGAGAACCACUGAACGUUCAGCAGCGGCUACACACUGAAACCGAGCCGUGUCGGAGACCUGAGCGCGGGAUACGACCAGCCGUCGACCGCUGGCAGCCACUCGCAAGCCCUCACCCUGUCUGACUGGUUUUCCAUCUUUAUACCACCUGGAAAGGAGCAGUUUUCACAGUCAAUAUGAGUAUGUUUGUGUGUGUGUUGGCAUGUAGUAUAGAUGUGUUCAUCUGUAUGAGAUGAAGGUCUUACGUGAUGACAGGUGCAGGUGUUCCCGUGGCGUGACACUCCAGCUCCAAAGGGCUGUUGAUGAUCACCGUGCUGUCUGUCACCUCGUCAGCUCCCUCAAUGAAAGGAGGAACUACGAUUCGGAAAAAAAAAUAAAGCUCUGUAUAUGACUCUGGAA